AAAUUUUAUCCUACAACCUUUGCCUACGAAUCAAAAGGUCGCAGGUUCGAAUCCUGCCGGGGCCA
rnacentral:tRNA from 1 species